GGCUGUGUAUAUAUGUGUAAUGUUGAUGGUUAUAAUGUUCCAGGUGUGGUAAUUGCUGUGCCUGGCUGUGUCUGCUGCAACAUUGAUCAACACAGCAACAUUGACCAGUCUGAGAAGUGCUGUGCCAGGCUGUCUGCUGCAACCGUGAUCAACACAGCAACAUUGACCAGUCUGAGGAGUGGAGACAACCAUACUAGUAACAUUUAGUAUUAUACCUGGAGAGGGUUACUCCAGGUAUGUGGAGAUGCAGCAGCUGGUGAUGUCGUCAGAAGUGGGCGGGGCCCACCUGUAAGGCAUUUCCAGGUGCAACAAGACAAAAAAGCUGACAUCACCCCACGUGUCCAACUCAACCUGUGUGAAAAUUCAAUGCUCAUAAAUGGCCUUAAGAUCUGGAACUCCGUCUGAAGCAUUGAAAGGCUCCCUGUCUGCCACCCAUUUCAAAGCUGUUAAAAAACACCAUCUCCUUAGCAUAACUGAAACAGCACUCUGUUAUGUCUAACAAAACCAGCUUUCCUCCAGUUCUGUCCCUGUUCUUCCUUCAACACCUAUACAUAAUUGACUGUUGAAUAUUGUGUGUUGCUGUAUCAACAUGUGAGGACAAAGACUGUUGCAACAUGUAACCAAAAAUACUGCUGGAACAAGUGUAGAAGCCUUCAAGAGGAAACUGGACAAGUAUCUUCACCAGGUGCUGGAUCAACCAGGCUGUGAUGGAGUGGGUCAGGGGACCACCAGCAGUAACAUCCUGGUGGAGCAGGCAAGCACCAGAUGAGCCUGACCCCUGGCUGGGCUCUGGCAGUAGAAUAACACUCAGAACUCAUCAGAGGUUAAUGUUAGUUUAUCAAUAGUGUGUGUGU